rnacentral:rRNA from 1 species
AGAUUGAACGCUGGCGGCAUGCUUUACACAUGCAAGUCGAACGGCAGCGCGGGGGCAACCUGGCGGCGAGUGGCGAACGGGUGAGUAAUGUAUCGGAACGUAUCCUGUAAUGGGGGAUAACCAGUCGAAAGAUUGGGUAAUACCGCAUACGCACGAGAGUGGAAAGUAGGGGAUCGCAAGACCUUACGUUAUAGGAGCGGCCGAUAUCUGAUUAGCUAGUUGGUGGGGUAAAGGCCUACCAAGGCGACGAUCAGUAGCUGGUCUGAGAGGACGACCAGCCACACUGGGACUGAGACACGGCCCAGACUCCUACGGGAGGCAGCAGUGGGGAAUUUUGGACAAUGGGCGAAAGCCUGAUCCAGCCAUGCCGCGUGCAGGAAGAAGGCCUUCGGGUUGUAAACUGCUUUAGUCUAGGAAAAAGGGGUGCGAGGUUAAUACCCUCGUGCUUUGGAUGGUACUGGAAGAAUAAGCACCGGCUAACUACGUG